GUCUGCGAGUUACUAGUGCCGGCAAGGUUAAGCGUCUAAGACGUGCAGCCGGAGGGAAACCGAGUUCGAAUAGAGCGUCUAGUCGGUAUUAGUAGACCCGAAACUGCGUGAUCUAGCCAUGGCCAGGCUGAAGUGUAGGUAACACUACAUGGAGGGCCGAACUCAUUGACGUUGAAAAGUCUCGGGAUGAGCUGUGGUUAGUCCGGUGAAAUGCCAAUCGAACGCAGAGAUAGCUGGUUCUCCCCGAAAUGCAUUGAGGUGCAGCGUUACGUGUUUCGAUCAGGGGGUAGAGCACUGAAUGGGCUAGGGGGUCUACCGGCUUACUGAACCCAAUCAAACUCCGAAUACCUGAUCGUGAAGCGUAGCAGUGAGACUGCGAGGGAUAAGCCCCGUGGUCAAAAGGGAAAUAGCCCAGAUCGACAGCUAAGGGCCCUAAUAAUGAACUAAGUGUGAAACGAUGUGAGAUCGCGUAAACAGCCAGGAGGUUGGCGUUGGAAGCAGCCAUCCUUU
rnacentral:rRNA from 1 species